rnacentral:rRNA from 1 species
UUCCCCUAGUAACUGCGAGUGAAGCGGGAAAAGCUCAAAUUUAAAAUCUGGCAGUCUUUGAUUGUCCGAGUUGUAAUCUAGAGAAGUGUUAUCCGCGUUGGACCGUGUACAAGUCUCCUGGAAUGGAGCGUCAUAGAGGGUGAGAAUCCCGUCUUUGACACGGACUACCAGUGCUUUGUGAUGCGCUCUCAAAGAGUCGAGUUGUUUGGGAAUGCAGCUCAAAAUGGGUGGUAAAUUCCAUCUAAAGCUAAAUAUUGGCGAGAGACCGAUAGCGAACAAGUACCGUGAGGGAAAGAUGAAAAGAACUUUGGAAAGAGAGUUAAACAGUACGUGAAAUUGCUGAAAGGGAAACGCUUGAAGUCAGUCGCGUUGUCCGGGGAUCAACCUUGCUUUUGCUGGGUGUACUUUCCGGUUGACGGGUCAGCAUCAAUUUUGACCGUUGGAUAAAGGGUAAGGGAAUGUGGCAUCUUCGGAUGUGUUAUAGCCCUUGCUCGCAUACAACGAUUGGGAUUGAGGAACUCAGUACGNNGCAAGGCCGGG